CAUUCAGGGGCCGGCUGCAGGGGUCAAAGGUAAUUCAUGUGAUGGUGGGGGCGGGGAGUGCCCCUGUGACAACAAUCUUGGACCCCCUUGUGGCCACCCUAAAUGCGGAGACUGAAAUAAUUAUCACAGAAUGAUUUUUUUUUUUACAUCCGUUAUUAGACGGUGGCAAAGCAGAACACUAAAGUAACCCAACACAAUUUCUAGUGGGACUCCUUUAGGCGGAACACAACAUUAUCGUACCACAUGGAUCUGCAAGUUUUCUUCUAUUCAGAAGUUGAAAGAAAUUCGGUGUUAAUAAUAUCGUUCAAGCAAGAAGAAGGAAAUAAAGAGAGCUAUCAUUAAAUCCCGAGAGGACCCACCAGUGCAGCCAGUGAUGAACAUGUACCCAAGAACUCUGAUGGGGGACAGGAGGAGGAGCUUCAAGGCGGCUUGGUUCCACAUCCACACCUGGCUUGAAUAUUCAAAAAAAUCAGACUCUGUUUUGUUACGCCUGCAGGCAUUUUAGCCCUCCCAAAGUGUCAGAGACUGUAUUUGAUUCAAAAUGGGGUUUUAACAACUGGAAGAAGGCAACUUACAAAGAGGGGGGAUUUGUAAUUCAUGCAAGGUCUGAGCGGCACAAACAAGCAAUGACUACAUGGAGAGACUAUCAGAAAGCUGUAAAAAGUAAUGCAACACUGGUAAAUGCCCUAAACAAGGAACACAACAAACAGGUUCAAGAAAAUCGGGACUAGAUUAAAACAAUAGGAGAAGUACUACUACUUACAGCCACACAAAACAUUGCACAAAGAGGACACGAUCAGUCUGCAGAGUCUGAUAAUAAAGGGAACUUCGUGGCAAUCCUAGAAACAAUAGCUAAGCAUGACACAACUGUGAAAAAAAGGUUGACUUCCAUUCAUAAUGCGAAAUAAACAAGCAAAGGGAUUCAGAAUGAGGUUCUGAGUUGUUUGGCAGACAUGGUUCGAACAAAAAUUAUAGAAGAAGUGAAAGACAGUGAGGACUUUAGCAUAAUGGCAGACGAAACAAAAGAUGUAAAAAAAAAAAAGGAGCAGAUAUCUCUAGUACUCAGGUACUAUUUCAGUGGAGCUGUCCAUGAGAGCUUUCUCCACUUUGAAUCGGCUGAUCGACUAGAUGCAGCAGGGCUUACUGACAAAAUCAUACACACAUUAGAAAGUAAUGGUCUUGAAUACAGAAACAACCUAGUAGGCCAAGCAUAUGACGGUGCUUCAGUUAUGAGUGGCAAGCAUUCAGGCUUCCAGGCACGCAUUGAAGAACAAGCAAAGCAUGCCUUUUACAUCCACUGCAGUGCACACUGUCUAAACUUAGUUUUAGUGGAUACAGUCAAAGCUGUCCCUGAGGUAGGACAGUUCUCCUUACUAGAAAGACUGUAUGUCUUCACAUCUGGGUCAUAUGUGCAUAAAAAAUGGCUUAGCACUUAGAGAGCUUCAGAGACUAAGUGACACUCGCUGGACAUGUCGAUUAUAUGGCUCUACAUACUAUUAUGGAUAGAUUGCCGGCCAUUAAGUGAGUCCUGCAAGACAUAGUCCAAGAACACAACGGUGACAGAUCUGUUGAGGCACGAGGUCUGCUUGCACAGAUAGAUUUACAAUUCAUUGUGUGCCUUGUUACACUCCAUAACGUUUUUGGAGAAGCAACAUUUCUAUCAGAUAUGCGACAGUCUUCAUCACUUGACCUGUCAAAGGCUGUUGAUUUAGUUGAAGCCUUAGUUCAAACUUUGAAUGACUACAGGGAUGAGUAAUUUUUUGAUGACUUUUGGAAUGAAGUGUUGAACACAGCUGAGCAAUGUGAUACUGCAAAACAGCCCCCUGCAAAACGACCAAAAAAGCCAAGCUCUCAAUUUAAUGGAGACUGUGUACUCAGUAUAGUAGGUCAGAGGUCAGAUUCAGAAAUAAAGACAGUUUUCGUACAACCUUUUUCUACCCUGUCUUAGAUCAGAUGCUCAAUGAGCUUAACAGACGGAUCUCUAGCAAAAACUGACAUAAUGAAUGGCAUCCAAACUCUAAACCCCAAAAGUGAUGCUUUUCUCAAAGAGAAGUACCUGUUUCCAUUUGCUAGAAUGUAUAAAUAAAAUAUUGAGGACUUGGGGCAUGAACUACAUCAGUUCAGAAUAAUUUUACAAAGGUAAAUACAGAUUGGCAUGCAGAGACCCUCCAGUGUAGUAGAGCUAGCAUUAUUCAUUGAGCCUCAUAAAGAAGUUUUCUUUGAGCUCUUUAAACUGUGCAAAAUAGCUGUUAGUACCGCUUCUUGUGAACAGAGUUUUUCUGCACUAAAGCUGGUGAAAACGUAUCUUAGGUCCACAAUGACAGAUGAGAGAUUAAGCAAUUUAGGUGUAUGAAGUAUUGAGUCAAUGAGGGAAAAGGCCUUGAAUCUAGAUGAAUUUGCUGAUCUUUUUGCAAGAAACCACAAAAACCGUAGAAUACAGUUGAUGUAACUGAUACUGAAUAUGUAAUAAAAAUGUAAUGUAAAUGCAAAUAAUAAAUUGUUGAAUGAUUAUAAA